UCUAAAUUUGCACUAAUAUUAUUUAUUAACUAUAAAUAAACUUUAGUUAGAAUCAGGUUGCCAUGUUUAUAUGUGUGUAAGACAGAUGCGGAUGCAGGUGUAGAAUCUUCUUGAACUCCUUGGACUCCAGUUAUCUACACUCAUAUAACACUCAUAACUCAUAACUCAUAAGAUAGAUAUUUCACGUGACGGUGACGCCAUUAAAUAAACAUUAAACACCUAAACAAACAAUUAGCCAAUAGUCAUUGUCCAUCAGUGGGAGACAUGGUUACAGUCAUAGAUAAAAGGUUCACGGCGUUCACGCAACAAACCAACAAAGGCUUCCGUAGUUUCGUUCAUCAGAGUACCUUCAGAGUUCAG